rnacentral:rRNA from 1 species
UCCUACGGGAGGCAGCAGUGGGGAAUAUUGGACAAUGGGCGCAAGCCUGAUCCAGCAAUGCCGCGUGAGUGAUGGAGGCCUUCGGGUUGUAAAGCUCUUUCGCACGCGACGAUGAUGACGGUAGCGUGAGAAGAAGCCCCGGCUAACUUCGUGCCAGCAGCCGCGGUAAU